CCUACGGGGGGCAGCAGUAGGGAAUAUUGCUCAAUGGGGGAAACCCUGAAGCAGCAACGCCGCGUGGAGGAUGAAGGUUUUCGGAUUGUAAACUCCUUUUGUUAGAGAAGAAAAUGACGGUAUCUAACGAAUAAGCACCGGCUAACUCCGUGCCAGCAGCCGCGGUAAUACGGAGGGGGCAAGCGUUACUCGGAUUCACUGGGCGUAAAGGGCGCGUAGGCGGGACAGCAAGUCAGAUGUGAAAUCCUAUGGCUUAACCCUAGAACUGCAUUUGAAACUGUUAUUCUAGAGUAGGGGAGAGGUAGGUGGAAUUCUUGGUGUAGGGGUGAAAUGCGUAGAGAUUAGGAGGAAUACCAAUUGCGAAGGCGACCUGCUAGAACAUAACUGACGCUGAUGCGCGAAAGCGUGGGGAGCAAACAGGAUUAGAUACCCUUGUAGUC
rnacentral:rRNA from 1 species